UAGCUCAGUGGUUAGAGCGUCUGUCUUGUAACCCGAAGGUCCCCGGUUCGAUUCCGGG
rfam:Aphanomyces invadans strain NJM9701 unplaced genomic scaffold supercont1.4, whole genome shotgun sequence.